GAGAGGAGGUGUCUAUGCAUCGAAGAUGCAUAUUGGAAUGACACCGACGAAAUGUCGCCGAACGAAUGUGAGGGGACAACACCAACA
rfam:Coprococcus sp. CAG:782 genomic scaffold, scf35